UGUCUACAGGAACUGAGAAAGCAGUUUCCAGAUAGCCACAGAGUGAAGCGAUUAACGGGCAUGAGGCUGGAAGCUUUGGAAAGGUACGAUGAAGCCAACAAGCACUAUGAUGCCAUUCUGCAAGAUGACCCCACCAAUACGG